rnacentral:rRNA from 1 species
UACGUAGGGUCCGAGCGUUGUCCGGAAUUACUGGGCGUAAAGAGCUCGUAGGUGGUUUGUCGCGUUGUUCGUGAAAACUCACAGCUCAACUGGGGGCGUGCGGGCGAUACGGGCAGACUGGAGUACGGCAGGGGAGACUGGAAUUCCUGGUGUAGCGGUGGAAUGCGCAGAUAUCAGGAGGAACACCGGUGGCGAAGGCGGGUCUCUGGGCAGGAACUGACGCUGAGGAGCGAAAGCGUGGGGAGCGAACAGG